GAUGAACGCUAGCGGCAGGCUUAAUACAUGCAAGUCGAACGGUAGAAGUCUCUUCGGAGGCUUUGAGAGUGGCGCACGGGUGCGUAACGCGUAUGCAACCUGCCUUCAGUUGGGGGAUAGCCCGGGGAAACCCGGAUUAAUACCGCAUAAUACAGGGGCCCCGCAUGGGGAUAUUUGUUAAAGAUUUAUCGACUGAAGAUGGGCAUGCGUCUGAUUAGCUAGUUGGUGAGGUAAUGGCUCACCAAGGCGACGAUCAGUAGGGGAUCUGAGAGGAUGGCCCCCCACACUGGUACUGAGAUACGGACCAGACUCCUACGGGAGGCAGCAGUAAGGAAUAUUGGACAAUGGGCGGAAGCCUGAUCCAGCCAUGCCGCGUGCAGGAAGACGGCCCUAUGGGUUGUAAACUGCUUUUGUAAGGGAAUAAUAAGGCGAACGAGUUUCGCUGAUGAAGGUACCUUACGAAUAAGCAUCGGCUAACUCCGUGCCAGCAGCCGCGGUAAUACGGAGGAUGCAAGCGUUAUCCGGAUUUAUUGGGUUUAAAGGGUGCGUAGGCGGCCUUUUAAGUCAGGGGUGAAAUGUUGCGGCUUAACCGCAGAAUUGCCUUUGAUACUGGGAGGCUUGAAUGAAGUUGAGGUAGGCGGAAUGUGGCAAGUAGCGGUGAAAUGCAUAGAGAUGCCACAGAACACCGAUUGCGAAGGCAGCUUACUAAGCUUUGAUUGACGCUGAGGCACGAAAGCGUGGGGAUCAAACAGGAUUAGAUACCCUGGUAGUCCACGCAGUAAACGAUGAGAACUAGCUGUUGGCGAUAGAAUGUCAGCGGCACAGCGAAAGCGUUAAGUUCUCCACCUGGGGAGUACGACCGCAAGGUUGAAACUCAAAGGAAUUGACGGGGGCCCGCACAAGCGGAGGAGCAUGUGGUUUAAUUCGAUGAUACGCGAGGAACCUUACCUGGGCUUGAAAGUGAGUGACCGGCGCUGAAAGGCGCCUUCCCUUCGGGGCACAAAACUAGGUGCUGCAUGGCUGUCGUCAGCUCGUGCCGUGAGGUGUUGGGUUAAGUCCCGCAACGAGCGCAACCCCUAUCAUCAGUUGCCAUCAGGUAAAGCUGGGGACUCUGGUGAGACUGCCUGCGCAAGCAGUGAGGAAGGCGGGGACGACGUCAAGUCAUCAUGGCCCUUACGUCCAGGGCUACACACGUGCUACAAUGGCAGCUACAGAGGGCCGCGACCGUGCAAACGGGAGCUAAUCUCAAAAAGGUUGUCACAGUUCGGAUUGAGGUCUGCAACUCGACCUCAUGAAGUUGGAUUCGCUAGUAAUCGCGUAUCAGCAAUGACGCGGUGAAUACGUUCCCGGGCCUUGCACACACCGC
rnacentral:rRNA from 1 species